rnacentral:tRNA from 2 species
UGAGUCUGUAGCUCAGUUGGAUAGAGCAACGGCCUUCUAAGCCGUGGGUCGGGGGUUCGAAUCCCUUCAGGCUCGUC